rnacentral:tRNA from 1 species
GCGCGGUUGGCGCAAUGAUAGCGUAUCAGACCUUCGAAUUGGCCGGGUUGCGGGUGUUCGAGUCCCGCAUCGCGUA